AUAUCUUGUGAUGUAUAUUCUUAAACUUGUGAUGUAUAUUCUAUAAUCUUGUGAUGUAUGUUCGAAAUCUUGUGAUGUAUAUUCGAAAUCUUGUGAUGUAUGUUUGAUAAUCUUGUGAUGUAUAUUCGAAAUCUUGUGAUGUAUGUUCGAUAUCUUGUGAUGUAUAUUCGAAAUCUUGUGAUGUAUAUUCUAUAAUCUUGUGAUGUAUGUUCGAAAUCUUGUGAUGUAUAUUCGAAAUCUUGUGAUGUAUGUUUGAUAAUCUUGUGAUGUAUAUUCGAAAUCUUGUGAUGUAUGUUCAAAAUCUUGUGAUGUAUAUUCAAUAUCUUGUGAUGUAUAUUCGAAAUCUUGUGAUGUAUAUUCUAUAAUCUUGUGAUGUAUGUUCGAAAUCUUGUGAUGUAUAUUCGAAAUCUUGUGAUGUAUGUUUGAUAAUCUUGUGAUGUAUAUUCGAAAUCUUGUGAUGUAUAUUCGAAAUCUUGUGAUGUUUGUUUGAUAAUCUUGUGAUGUGUGUUCUACAAUUCAGUGAUGCGUGCAAUAAAAUUGCAUGACGCAACAGAAAAGUAAGGACAAUUUUCAUUGGUUAGAAAUAACGAAAGUAGCCGGAGCGGUCGAAAUGCACACAUUGACACAACUUCGCAAGCAUGAAAUUGACGAAUUCAACCUAAAGUCAAAAUUAUAGGAACUUUACGUAGGUCUACAGUUUUAAUUUUGGACUCAUGCACUAGGAAUAUCAUAUCAGCAGAAUUGUGCCACUGAAUCAAAGGGAACUCUUUUUUUUUAGGUACGCAUGAUCAAUGUAACUUCCUCGAUGGUGUGUUGGCUGUUUGCCCAUGUGUAUUUCGGGGUAUAGGAGUAGCCUCCCCUUUUAAAGAUCAAAAAUGGUGAUUUUACAGUGCCGCAUGCAGUCUGGUCUUCAAUGAAGAGUUUUGACACCUGUAAUACCCAUAUUUCUACCAUUCACCUCUGUAACCUUUGUUGAGUUCAUCAGACUGUCACUAGGCAACACUAAAGAUUUCCACUUAUUGCUUUUCUGUCCAAGACAGGAAGUUGAGGAACAAAGUUGACAGGACAUCCUGAACUGUCUUCGCUACCAGCUUAUGAGGGAACCAGCUGCAGUGGACAAAGUAUGUUACAUCAUAGGAUAAUAGAUCUUAAACAAGAUACCCUGUGCCUGAAAACCAGUCACCCAUACUAUCAUCAAAUUCAAGGCCAGCUACACAUAUGUAACAAAACAUUCUGCGACUUAAUUGUGUGGACAAGAGUAGACUGCAUUGUGAUUAGAAUAGUAAAAGACAUUGAAUGGACAGCAAAUGUUCCAAAGCUGAUAGAUUUCUACAUUAACAUUUUCAUUCCAGCACUGAUGGAAAACUGAGUUCUGGUUUGAACUUCUUGACACUUAGUUUUGUACCUCUAGAAUUUUCUAACAAUGGAAAAUGGGUAAUCGUGUUAAAUUUGUUGAAUGUUCCCAAGUCUCAUAAAUGUAUGAUAUGAUAUGUCACAAUCCAAUGAAUCCAUCAUAAAACUUCUGGCUUAUAAGACUAUUUUAAAUAGCAAUGAUGAUUAAUAAAAUCUAUGUACUACAUAAAAAAAGAAUAUCAAAAUUUAGAAUCAUUUUAUUAAUGAAUUGAAGAUGUUAUUCUCAAAGUGAAAAUGUAACAUUUUUGUCUUUCUUAAUAGAUAAAUUGUUGAAAACAUGAA